CUGAUGUAUUUGCUCAUGUAAACAGAACUGAAUUUUAAGAAAAAUAACUGCUUGUUUUUGUUUUGUUAACUUUUUUUGCCACUGCUAUGGAGAUUUUUCUAAUGUGCCCUUUUCCUGUGUCCUAAAACAUCCAGGUUUUGUCGGGUCUGUGUUCCAGGACAUCUGCAUGUGCGUGUUUCCAGUGUAUUGUAGUACAUGUGCUAAACAGGAGAUUAAGUUUUCUUAGAGGCAUUAUUACUCUACAUCCAAUAAGGUGAGUGUUGCUAUUAUAAUUUAACAAUCCUCUAGCUAAUGAGAUAAGCAGUGUUCUUACUUUACAAUUUUUGUUCCUUGCCCAUCAUUCAAGACAUCCCUUAAAGGGAACCUAUAGUUCAGUGACUUUAAUUUAUAUUCCGUUGUAAUCUCUGUCCUCCCUUUGCUGGUAAAAAGUUAAGUGAACCCAUUUGAACACAAGUUGUGCCCCUGGACACAUUGUGUGUGCUUCUCCUGAAUACUUCACUGAUCCUGAAGAAUUGGCUUGGUUGCUGGUAAAUAAGUGUUGGUGUCCAAGCUGGUUGAGGUUUAUAAGGAUUAUAUAUCUGACAUAACACAAUAGUGAGGCAAGCACUUAUUUUUAAAAAGCUUUUGUGAAAUAUUUAAAGUACCACCAGCCUUGGAUGGGAUCUCAUACAGCAUGAUGGGAGUUUGCAAAAGCAGGCAACUUCUUGCUCUGAAACUGAUAGGCCAUACAUUCAGAGUGGCUUGUUAAAGGACCACUCUACGCACCCAGACCACUUCAGCUUAAUGAAGUGGUCUGGGUGCCAGGUCCAGCUAGGCUUAAUCCAUUCUUUUAUAAUGCAAAUGGGUUAAGCCUUCCCCCAAUUCCUCUAGCGGCUGUCUCAUUGACCACUAGAGGCGCUUGCAUGCUUCUCACUG